rnacentral:sRNA from 1 species
AAAAAAGAUACAUUAGUUACGGACGGAUAUAUAUUAAAUAAAUUAAGUCACAAAUAUCAUAUAUAUAUAUAUAUAUAUUAAUUUUUUGCCUAGUUUUGUUCCA